rnacentral:rRNA from 1 species
GGCCCAGACUCCUACGGAGGCAGCAGUGGGAAUAUUGCACAAUGGGCGAAAGCCUGAUGCAGCAACGCCGCGUGAGGGAUGACGGCCUUCGGGUUGUAAACCUCUUUUAGCAGGGAAGAAGCGAAAGUGACGGUACCUGCAGAAAAAGCGCCGGCUAACUACGUGCCAGCAGCCGCGGUAAUACGUAGGGCGCAAGCGUUAUCCGGAAUUAUUGGGCGUAAAGAGCUCGUAGGCGGUUUGUCGCGUCUGCUGUGAAAUCCCGAGGCUCAACCUCGGGCCUGCAGUGGGUACGGGCAGACUAGAGUGCGGUAGGGGAGAUUGGAAUUCCUGGUGUAGCGGUGGAAUGCGCAGAUAUCAGGAGGAACACCGAUGGCGAAGGCAGAUCUCUGGGCCGUAACUGACGCUGAGGAGCGAAAGGGUGGGGAGCAAACAGGCUUAGAUACCCUGGUAGUCCACCCCGUAAACGUUGGGAACUAGUUGUGGGGUCCAUUCCACGGAUUCCGUGACGCAGCUAACGCAUUAAGUUCCCCGCCUGGGGAGUACGGCCGCAAGGCUAAAACUCAAAGGAAUUGACGGGGACCCGCACAAGCGGCGGAGCAUGCGGAUUAAUUCGAUGCAACGCGAAGAACCUUACCAAGGCUUGACAUACACGAGAACACCGUAGAAAUACGGGACUCUUUGGACACUCGUGAACAGGUGGUGCAUGGUUGUCGUCAGCUCGUGUCGUGAGAUGUUGGGUUAAGUCCCGCAACGAGCGCAACCCUCGUUCUAUGUUGCCAGCACGUAAUGGUGGGAACUCAUGGGAUACUGCCGGGGUCAACUCGGAGGAAGGUGGGGAUGACGUCAAAUCAUCAUGCCCCUUAUGUCUUGGGCUUCACGCAUGCUACAAUGGCCGGUACAAAGGGCUGCAAUACCGCGAGGUGGAGCGAAUCCCAAAAAGCCGGUCCCAGUUCGGAUUGAGGUCUGCAACUCGACCUCAUGAAGUCGGAGUCGCUAGUAAUCGCAGAUCAGCAACGCUGCGGUGAAUACGUUCCCGGGUCUUGUACACACCGCCCGUCAAGUCAUGAAAGUCGGUAACACCUGAAGCCGGUGGCCUAACCCUUGUGGAGGGAGCC